AACACACCUGGUUACCCUCUUU
rnacentral:miRNA from 1 species